GCCCGGGUGGCGGAACUGGUAGACGCAGCGGACUUAAAAUUCGCAGGCCGAAAGGCCGUGCCGGUUCGAUUCCGGCCCCGGGCACCA
rnacentral:tRNA from 1 species